rnacentral:rRNA from 1 species
UUAAGCGACUAAGCGUACACGGUGGAUGCCCUGGCAGUCAGAGGCGAUGAAGGACGUGCUAAUCUGCGAUAAGCGUCGGUGAGGUGAUAUGAACCGUUAUAACCGGCGAUUUCCGAAUGGGGAAACCCAGUGUGUUUCGACACACUAUCAUUAACUGAAUCCAUAGGUUAAUGAGGCGAACCGGGGGAACUGAAACAUCUAAGUACCCCGAGGAAAAGAAAUCAACCGAGAUUCCCCCAGUAGCGGCGAGCGAACGGGGAGGAGCCCAGAGCCUGAAUCAGUGUGUGUGUUAGUGGAAGCGUCUGGAAAGGCGUGCGAUACAGGGUGACAGCCCCGUACACAAAAAUGCACAUAUUGUGAGCUCGAUGAGUAGGGCGGGACACGUGGUAUCCUGUCUGAAUAUGGGGGGACCAUCCUCCAAGGCUAAAUACUCCUGACUGACCGAUAGUGAACCAGUACCGUGAGGGAAAGGCGAAAAGAACCCCGGCGAGGGGAGUGAAAAAGAACCUGAAACCGUGUACGUACAAGCAGUGGGAGCCUCUUAAUGGGGUGACUGCGUACCUUUUGUAUAAUGGGUCAGCGACUUAUAUUCUGUAGCAAGGUUAACCGAAUAGGGGAGCCGAAGGGAAACCGAGUCUUAACUGGGCGUUAAGUUGCAGGGUAUAGACCCGAAACCCGGUGAUCUAGCCAUGGGCAGGUUGAAGGUUGGGUAACACUAACUGGAGGACCGAACCGACUAAUGUUGAAAAAUUAGCGGAUGACUUGUGGCUGGGGGUGAAAGGCCAAUCAAACCGGGAGAUAGCUGGUUCUCCCCGAAAGCUAUUUAGGUAGCGCCUCGUGAAUUCAUCUCCGGGGGUAGAGCACUGUUUCGGCAAGGGGGUCAUCCCGACUUACCAACCCGAUGCAAACUGCGAAUACCGGAGAAUGUUAUCACGGGAGACACACGGCGGGUGCUAACGUCCGUCGUGAAGAGGGAAACAACCCAGACCGCCGGCUAAGGUCCCAAAGUCAUGGUUAAGUGGGAAACGAUGUGGGAAGGCCCAGACAGCCAGGAUGUUGGCUUAGAAGCAGCCAUCAUUUAAAGAAAGCGUAAUAGCUCACUGGUCGAGUCGGCCUGCGCGGAAGAUGUAACGGGGCUAAACCAUGCACCGAAGCUGCGGCAGCGACGCUUAUGCGUUGUUGGGUAGGGGAGCGUUCUGUAAGCCUGUGAAGGUGGCCUGUGAGGGUUGCUGGAGGUAUCAGAAGUGCGAAUGCUGACAUAAGUAACGAUAAAGCGGGUGAAAAGCCCGCUCGCCGGAAGACCAAGGGUUCCUGUCCAACGUUAAUCGGGGCAGGGUGAGUCGACCCCUAAGGCGAGGCCGAAAGGCGUAGUCGAUGGGAAACAGGUUAAUAUUCCUGUACUUGGUGUUACUGCGAAGGGGGGACGGAGAAGGCUAUGUUGGCCGGGCGACGGUUGUCCCGGUUUAAGCGUGUAGGCUGGUUUUCCAGGCAAAUCCGGAAAACCAAGGCUGAGGCGUGAUGACGAGGCACUACGGUGCUGAAGCGACAAAUGCCCUGCUUCCAGGAAAAGCCUCUAAGCAUCAGGUAACAUCAAAUCGUACCCCAAACCGACACAGGUGGUCAGGUAGAGAAUACCAAGGCGCUUGAGAGAACUCGGGUGAAGGAACUAGGCAAAAUGGUGCCGUAACUUCGGGAGAAGGCACGCUGAUAUGUAGGUGAAGCGACUUGCUCGUGGAGCUGAAAUCAGUCGAAGAUACCAGCUGGCUGCAACUGUUUAUUAAAAACACAGCACUGUGCAAACACGAAAGUGGACGUAUACGGUGUGACGCCUGCCCGGUGCCGGAAGGUUAAUUGAUGGGGUUAGCGGCAACGCGAAGCUCUUGAUCGAAGCCCCGGUAAACGGCGGCCGUAACUAUAACGGUCCUAAGGUAGCGAAAUUCCUUGUCGGGUAAGUUCCGACCUGCACGAAUGGCGUAAUGAUGGCCAGGCUGUCUCCACCCGAGACUCAGUGAAAUUGAACUCGCUGUGAAGAUGCAGUGUACCCGCGGCAAGACGGAAAGACCCCGUGAACCUUUACUAUAGCUUGACACUGAACAUUGAGCCUUGAUGUGUAGGAUAGGUGGGAGGCUUUGAAGUGUGGACGCCAGUCUGCAUGGAGCCGACCUUGAAAUACCACCCUUUAAUGUUUGAUGUUCUAACGUUGGCCCGUAAUCCGGGUUGCGGACAGUGUCUGGUGGGUAGUUUGACUGGGGCGGUCUCCUCCUAAAGAGUAACGGAGGAGCACGAAGGUUGGCUAAUCCUGGUCGGACAUCAGGAGGUUAGUGCAAUGGCAUAAGCCAGCUUGACUGCGAGCGUGACGGCGCGAGCAGGUGCGAAAGCAGGUCAUAGUGAUCCGGUGGUUCUGAAUGGAAGGGCCAUCGCUCAACGGAUAAAAGGUACUCCGGGGAUAACAGGCUGAUACCGCCCAAGAGUUCAUAUCGACGGCGGUGUUUGGCACCUCGAUGUCGGCUCAUCACAUCCUGGGGCUGAAGUAGGUCCCAAGGGUAUGGCUGUUCGCCAUUUAAAGUGGUACGCGAGCUGGGUUUAGAACGUCGUGAGACAGUUCGGUCCCUAUCUGCCGUGGGCGCUGGAGAACUGAGGGGGGCUGCUCCUAGUACGAGAGGACCGGAGUGGACGCAUCACUGGUGUUCGGGUUGUCAUGCCAAUGGCACUGCCCGGUAGCUAAAUGCGGAAGAGAUAAGUGCUGAAAGCAUCUAAGCACGAAACUUGCCCCGAGAUGAGUUCUCCCUGACUCCUUGAGAGUCCUGAAGGAACGUUGAAGACGACGACGUUGAUAGGCCGGGUGUGUAAGCGCAGCGAUGCGUUGAGCUAACCGGUACUAAUGAACCGUGAGGCUUAACCUU